UACGAAGGGGGCUAGCGUUGCUCGGAAUCACUGGGCGUAAAGGGUGCGUAGGCGGGUCUUUAAGUCAGGGGUGAAAUCCUGGAGCUCAACUCCAGAACUGCCUUUGAUACUGAGGAUCUUGAGUUCGGGAGAGGUGAGUGGAACUGCGAAGUGUAGAGGUGAAAUUCGUAGAUAUUCGCAAGAACACCAGUGGCGAAGGCGGCUCACUGGCCCGAUACUGACGCUGAGGCACGGAAAGCGUGGGGAGCAAACAGG
rnacentral:rRNA from 1 species